rnacentral:tRNA from 3 species
GGCUCGGUAGCUCAGCGGUAGAGCGCUACUCUUAUAAAGUAGAUGUCCAUGGUUCGAAUCCAUGCCGAGCCA